rnacentral:rRNA from 1 species
UUGACCUCAGGUCAGGUAGGACUACCCGCUGAACUUAAGCAUAUCAAUAAGCGGAGGA